rnacentral:tRNA from 1 species
GUGGGUAUAGCUCAGUGGUAGGGCACGUGCUUAGCACGCAUGAGGUCCUGGGUUCAAUCUCCAGUACCUCCA